UGACCAACCAUCUCUCUUCCUCUCCCAAUUCUUCUUCCGCUCACCAUUUCUCCUCUAUCCAACACCUUCAUCAGCAUCCCUCACAGUGUGUAACUCGACGGACGAUGGCUACACGUUGACGCAACCCAGCAACCGCCGUACGUCUCUCCCUCACGUGAUUGAAGCGUCGUGGCUUGUCGAUGCUAGAUCCACAGCUGUAGCACCGCCAAUCUAACCGAACGACGACCACUCCUUGUGCAGUUUAACUCACCACUUAUUUUCGGGCACACGCAGCUAUAUUCGAAGCCAUAGUUUUCGUGGCUAGUUGGAGUUGGACCAAAUUGAGGUGGUAAAAGAGUAUAAUCUCAGGGGAUCGAGUCAUUGAUAGUGAUUUCUCUAAGCUACGUGAAUGUGUUUCCGUAGCGCUACCUAUGGUUAUCAAGGGGUUUCGGGGUAGAAAGAGGUCGUGAUCGAAGAUUUGAGAACCUGAGCCUAGAUGAGGAUGUGGAUGGAGAAUUGUGAUAUGGCUUCGGGUCUAGCUUAACCUGUGGUGGUUGGCUCUAUGUGCACAUAGGAGCGGUAUGCAGUUACUACGGUAGGUGCUAAGUAUGCGUGAGCUCCAUUUGGUCGCAUGUUUUCUUGUGGAUAUGGAGCACGUGUGAGCUAUUCCCCGGCCGUAUACUUAGUAUGCUAUCAUGGUUGGAUUGGAUUGGUUGGAGGUUGCCAUCGUGGCGGGUACUAAAGAUGCGUGAGCUAAUUUUGGUUGCAUGAUUCUUUGUCAUGUGCGAGCUAUCUUUGGCCGUAUUUUUAGAUUUUUUCCACAGUUGGAUCGACUACAGGUUUGUUGGUGGACUGAUGGCUAUGAGUUAAUGACUUUUCAAUUAAUAUAUCAUUACGCGC